UGGGGAAUAUUGGACAAUGGGCGAAAGCCUGAUCCAGCCAUGCCGCGUGUGUGAAGAAGGUCUUCGGAUUGUAAAGCACUUUAAGUUGGGAGGAAGGGCAGUAAGUUAAUACCUUGCUGUUUUGACGUUACCGACAGAAUAAGCACCGGCUAACUCUGUGCCA
rnacentral:rRNA from 1 species